AACCCGACUCCGUGAAGCUGGAUUCGCUAGUAAUCGCGCAUCAGCCAUGGCGCGGUGAAUACGUUCCCGGGCCUUGUACACACCGCCCGUCAAGCCAUGGGAGCCGGGGGUGCUUGAAGUGCGUCGCCGCAAGGCGCGCCCUAGAGCAAAACCGGUGACUGGGGCUAAGUCGUAACAAGGUAGC
rnacentral:rRNA from 1 species